rnacentral:rRNA from 1 species
GGGGAAUUUUCCGCAAUGGGCGAAAGCCUGACGGAGCAAUACCGCGUGAGGGAGGAAGGCUCUUGGGUUGUAAACCUCUUUUCUCAGGGAAUAAGAANCUGAAGGUACCUGAGGAAUCAGCAUCGGCUAACUCCGUGCCAGCAGCCGCGGUAAUANCGGAGGAUGCAAGCGUUAUCCGGAAUUAUUGGGCGUAAAGCGUCCGUAGGUGGUUUAGUAAGUCUGCUGUUAAAGCGCGGGGCUUAACUCCGUAUCGGCAGUGGAAACUACUAGACUAGAGUGUGGUAGGGGUAGAGGGAAUUCCCAGUGUAGCGGUGAAAUGCGUAGAUAUUGGGAAGAACACCGGUGGCGAAAGCGCUCUACUGGGCCAUAACUGACACUGAUGGACGAAAGCUAGGGGAGCGAAAGGGAUUAGAUACACCCUGUAGUCAGUC